AUAUGUGGGUGGGGAAUGAAAAAGGAUUAGCAAUGCAAUCACCCCAGUCCAAAAUGCUUCUAUGCAGUUGUCCUAGGGUGACUUUAUGAUGUUUGUAUCCCCAAUAGUCUGUUCAGUGUGUGCUGUGUAUUGUGUUCUGCACCUUUAAGACUGAUUCUCAGUGAAACAGGGAGAGAAGAAGCUCACAGCUUGUUUUGCACAAAACUGCCUGACUCCUACACAUUCUCUCUCCUGGACUCUGUGUUUGUCUGAGGCACGAACAAGGGGUGGGACAGAGAUCUCCUGUGCUUUUUAGUUAGUUUUAGCUAGCUAGGGCAGAGAAGCUCUCUGGAUUGUUUUUUUUUUUUCCUUUUUCCUUGAGACUGUUUAAAUCUGCUCUAGACUGAAAACCCAAAGGAGCACCUGCGGCUCACCGAGCCUGGACCUCCAGAAGGACUGAGACAGAUAAAAAACUGAGUGAGCUGAGCCACCCAUGGCAAGGAUUUUCUCAGGUUAACCAUCACUCUUCGGAGCAGCGAGAGAUACUAAUGAUACUUUGAAAACAUGUUGGACAGUAGAAGAUGGAUUGCCUAAAGCCACAUUGAGUGCUCUGUCAAUGCUGAACGCCACUUGACGAAGGUAGCAUUCUGGAUGCUGUCCAAAACCAUCGUACGGUACAUAGAGGUUUAUGUGGCAAGUGGUUGGCAGAGGAGAGGUGGCUGUGGGAAGAAGCCAGAGGCUGCCUUGUGCAGGACACAGCCAGACCCAGCAAACACUGCAGAGCACAGCUGAGUCCCUCAGCCAAGCUGGGGACACUUCUGGGAGAACAUGUUUAAGAACAUGGAACAUUUCCAUGGAACAGCAGAUAUCCCCUGCAGCCCAUGGAGGAUGCCAUAGUGGAGCACAAGGAUAUUCCUGAAGGAACCGAAGCCCAUGGAGAGCCCACACCAGAGCAGACAGAAGACGUGAUGAGGAAGAAGGCUGAGACACCAUUAUGUACUGGUUACAACUCCCCAGCCAUUCUCCAUGUGAGCUUGCAUGGCAGGGGUAGGGGAUGUGAGAAAUAGAGCUGAACCUGGGGGAAGGGGGUGGAAAGGUAUGCUGUUUUGAGUUUGUUUGCCACAGCCUGAAUUGAUUUUAUUUGGCAAUAAAUCAGCUAUUUUUUUCCCAAACAGAGUUUGUUUAGCCUGCAAUGGUAAUUAAUAAGCAAUUUCCCUGUUGUUACCUCAACCUACCAUUUUACUGUUGGUGUUUUUCAUAUUUUACCCCACUGCAUGACCAGACUGGGGGUGGUGAGUUGCACAAGGAAGCAGCUGAAGGGGAAUUUUGCUGUUGGCCAAGUUUGGCUCAGCACACACUGUCGCUAUGGUUUUGAAGACUUUUUUAAGCCUUCUGUAAUGUUCUUCAUAUUGGAGUCAGAAUUUUUACUUUCUCACAGUUUGUACUAUAAACAAUGGCCAUGUUUUGCUAACUGUCCUUCAUUGUUUACAUAUUUUAGGUGGGAGGAGAAAGUUGAUUGACAGUUGGCUUGACCAAUGUGAUUUGUGACGUGGAAUUCCAUCCUCCAAUCCACAGGCCCCAUAGGAAAUGUAUAAAAUUGAGUUUUGUAAAUAAACUCAUCCCUUUUCCUGCUUUGCUCACCAGCGUGUGGUUCUUUUCGUGUCAUCUGUGACAACACAACACUUAACAGAAAUGAUCCUCUGGAUGUCAGCCUCUAAAACAUACUAACUAUGUCAGACAGUAAAGGUAACAAAAGCAAGUCUUGGUGUUAGUAGACUCCUACCUGCUACCUUGUGAUCUCUAACUGCAC